rnacentral:sRNA from 1 species
CGGGUGCAACCCCCGACACUAACGGCCUUUACGCGACAUCCGAGCAGCGUGUCUAUCCCAAAGGCCUAGGAGCAUUUGCCCAGCUCGGUCAAAUCUAGCACAAGUUUGAAGCCUGCGGCCUCGCAAUUUUAGCAGCUUCGUUCCAGGCCAGGCUUCCUGACCACAGCCUCACCUUUGAGCAGCUCAGAGCCCUGCCUGCCAGGAUGGGAGCCACUGCCUGGAUCGUGGCUCUGCAGGGCCACCCAUGAUGGAACAGGUCGCCUGGUGAGGUGGAUGCCCACCACCUCCAUGCCGAGAGGAGGGGGCCACAGCCCUGGCAUGCAGCCCUGCCCAGUAGCCCGGCACCUGCCCCUGCCACGCAGGAGGCCCCCCGGCCUGCCAGCAGCCUCAGGCCUCCCCGCUGUGGCGUGCCCGACCCACCUGAUGGGCUGAGUGCCCGCAACCGACAGAAGAGGUUCGUGCUUUCUGGCGGGCGCUGGGAGAAGACGGACCUCACCUACAGGAUCCUUCGGUUCCCAUGGCAGUUGGUGCAGGAGCAGGUGCGGCAGACGAUGGCAGAGGCCCUAAAGGUAUGGAGCGAUGUGACGCCACUCACCUUCACUGAGGUGCACGAGGGCCGUGCUGACAUUGUGAUCGACUUCGCCAGGUGAAUGGGCGGCCUGGGACCCCUCCGGGAACAGCCUCGCCUGCCAGCAGCCACUGACCCCGCCCCCACCCAUCUGUAGGUACUGGCAUGGGGACGACCUGCCGUUUGAUGGGCCUGGGGGCAUCCUGGCCCAUGCCUUCUUCCCUAAGACUCACCGAGAAGGGGAUGUCCACUUCGACUAUGAUGAGACCUGGACUAUCGGGGAUGACCAGGGCACAGACCUGCUGCAGGUGGCAGCCCAUGAAUUUGGCCACGUGCUGGGGCUGCAGCACACAACAGCAGCCAAGGCCCUGAUGUCUGCCUUCUACACCUUUCGCUACCCACUGAGUCUCAGCCCAGAUGACCGCAGGGGCGUUCAACAC